CGCGGGAUGGAGCAGUCUGGUAGCUCGUCGGGCUCAUAACCCGGAGGUCGUUGGUUCAAAUCCAGCUCCCGCAACCA
rnacentral:tRNA from 1 species